rnacentral:ribozyme from 12 species
GUAGUUUUCUGGAGUAUUUGGAUCAAACCUUGGAGACAAGCUGAGAUUUUUCUUGGGUCCUUUUUGUGGACACCUUUUUUCCAUAAUGGAAAAUAAACAUUUCUUUUAAAAUUGAUUUACAGAUUUACAGAUUUUAAAGGAGAGAUUUUCAGCCAGACUGUUC